CCCUACGGGGUGCAGCAGGCGAGAAAACUUUGCAAUGUGCGAAAGCACGACAAGGUAAUCCGAGUGGUUUCUGCUAAAGGAACCUUUUGUCAGUCCUAGAAACACUGAUGAAUAAGGGGUGGGCAAGUUCUGGUGUCAGCCGCCGCGGUAAAACCAGCACCUCAAGUGGUCAGGAUGAUUAUUGGGCCUAAAGCAUCCGUAGCCGGCUUUGUAAGUUUUCGGUUAAAUCCAUGCGCUCAACGUAUGGGCUGCCGGGAAUACUGCAAAGCUAGGGAGUGGGAGAGGUAGACGGUACUCGGUAGGAAGGGGUAAAAUCCUUUGAUCUAUUGAUGACCACCUGUGGCGAAGGCGGUCUACCAGAACACGUCCGACGGUGAGGGAUGAAAGCUGGGGGAGCAAACCGGAUUAGAUACCCGGGUAGUCCCAGCUGUAAACUAUGCAAACUCAGUGAUGCAUUGGCUUGAUGCCAAUGCAGUGCUGCAGGGAAGCCGUUAAGUUUGCCGCCUGGGAAGUACGUACGCAAGUAUGAAACUUAAAGGAAUUGGCGGGGGAGCACCACAAGGGGUGAAGCCUGCGGUUCAAUUGGAGUCAACGCCAGAAAUCUUACCCGGAGAGACAGCAGAAUGAAGGUCAAGCUGAAGACUUUACCAGACAAGCUGAGAGGAAGUGCAUGGCC
rnacentral:rRNA from 1 species